GGUUUAUUCGCCAAAGUAAGUGUUGCUGAGAAUUAAGGUAAAUCCAAAUUGAAAUUUUAAGGCCAAGUUAGUUGAACUGGAAACUUCCAAAGUAAUUUGUUUUGAUGCCUACAGUGUGACCCUCAUAAUGAAUAGUAUACUCACCCUCAGUCCCGCAAACGGCUCCUUCUGCUGGUUCACAGGCCAAACUGCAGCUCCUUAAAUACUUAUAUUCCCAAGACAUCACGCCCUAAAAAGGGAC